UCAAGUUUUAACUAAUAUCAAGGACUCUGUGAGGGGCAACCUUUGCAGAUUCUCCUUGGUAUUUAACCAAUGUGAAUUGGGGGAAGUAUAUUGAAGGACGCAAGUCUUGACUAUAUAUUGAACUCAUUUUUUCUCUUGAUGCAAAGACCAAUGUGUGUCAAAGCACAUAUGUUUUAGUGUCUUGAGAGAUAUUAACUAUUAAAAGAGUCGGAUAAAAAACAAAAAAUUAAAAA
rnacentral:misc_RNA from 1 species